UACGUAGGCAGCGAGCGUUGUUCGGAAUUACUGGGCGUAAAGAGUGUGUAGGCGGUGCUCUAAGUUCGGUGUGAAAUCUCCUGGCUUAACUGGGAGGGUGCGCCGGAAACUGGAGUGCUCGAACGUGGGAGAGGAAAGCGGAAUUCCUGGUGUAGCGGUGAAAUGCGUAGAUAUCAGGAGGAACACCUGCGGUGUAGACGGCUUUCUGGACCAUUGUUGACGCUGAGGCACGAAAGCGUGGGUAGCAAACAGG
rnacentral:rRNA from 1 species